UACAGAGGCCUCGAGCGUUAGGCGGAAUCACUGGGCUUAAAGCGUGUGUAGGCGGACUUCUAAGUACCUUGUGAAAUCCCACGGCUUACCCGUGGAACUGCUCGGUAUACUGGUUGUCUUGAGCCACCUAGGGGCGAGUGGAACAAAUGGUGGAGCGGUGAAAUGCGUAGAUAUCAUUUGGAACGCCAAUGGUGAAAACAACUCGCUGGGGGUGUGCUGACG
rnacentral:rRNA from 1 species